rnacentral:rRNA from 2 species
CCUAGUGGCUAUGGUGGAGGGGAAACACCCGUUCCCAUCCCGAACACGGAAGUUAAGCCCUCCAGCGCCGAUGGUAGUUGGGGCCAGCGCCCCUGCAAGAGUAGGUCGUUGCUAGGC